CCGCGGGUUGGUCUCUCUCCUCAGCGCCGUCCCUUGCUUGGCUUGCCAGGAGCUGCCGGCCAUGAGCGCCGAGCCGGGGGGACGGGGCGGCGGGGGACCGGCGGGGGGACCGCCCGCCGCCCCGGGCUCUGACACCUACAAGGGCUGGCUCUUCAAGUGGACCAACUACCUGAAGGGCUACCAGCGCCGCUGGUUCGUGCUCAGCAACGGGCUCCUCAGCUACUACAGGACGCAGGCAGAAAUGGCCCACACGUGUCGCGGGACCAUCAACCUGUCCACAGCUCAUAUCGAUACGGAGGACUCUUGUAACAUCGUGCUUUCCAAUGGGGGAAGGACGUACCACUUAAAGGCGAACUCGGAAGUGGAGAGGCAGCGCUGGGUCACGGCCCUGGAGCUGGCCAAAGCGAAAGCCAUCCGCAUGAGGAACAACCAGUCAGAUGACUCGGGCGAUGAGGAGCCCGCCUCGCAGUCAGACAAGAGUGAGCUGCACAGCACGUUGAAAACCCUCUCGAGUAAGCUGGAGGAUCUGAGCACUUGCAAUGACCUGAUCGCGAAGCACGGGGCGGCCCUGCAACGCUCGCUCAGCGAGCUGGAGAACCUGAAGCUGCCGGCUGAGAGCGGUGAGAAGAUCAAGGCGGUGAACGAACGAGCCACGCUCUUCCGCAUCACCUCCAAUGCUAUGAUCAACGCUUGCCGCGAUUUCCUGGACUUAGCCGAAACUCACAGCCGAAAAUGGCAACGGAUGCUGCAGUAUGAGCGGGAGCAGAGGAUCCGGCUGGAGGAGACCAUCGAGCAGUUAGCCAAGCAGCACAACAGCUUGGAGCGAGCCUGCCGCGGAGCUCCCGGCCUGUCCUCCAGUAGCACCGGCAUCACCAGCACCGCCAAGGGGAGUGUGCAGUCUGCAAAAGGAGAGGCCAGUGAUGAAGAUGAAGAGACGGAGUAUUUUGAUGCCAUGGAGGAUGCACCAGCUUUUAUCACUGUAACCGCAGACCCCAAGCAUCACAGGCGUUCGGGCAGUAACCUGAGUGGGGCCAGCGAGGGCCACCCUGAGGAUUGGAACCUGGAGGACAGUGUCUUUGAAAGCUCAAAUCAAAGCAGCUACAAUGAGUCCACUUGCAAAGAUCUCCUGCCGAAGAAGAGGAGACGGACUCGCAUCCCCGACAAACCCAACUACAGCCUUAACCUCUGGAGCAUCAUGAAAAACUGCAUCGGCAAAGAGCUGUCCAAGAUCCCUAUGCCUGUAAACUUCAAUGAGCCGCUCUCCAUGCUGCAGAGGCUGACAGAGGACCUCGAGUACCACGAGCUGCUGGACAAAGCGGUCAAGUGCGAGAGCUCCACGGAGCAGAUGUGCUUCGUCGCUGCGUUUUCGGUGUCUUCCUACUCGACAACUGUCCACCGCACUGCAAAGCCAUUCAACCCACUGCUGGGGGAAACCUAUGAGCUCGACCGGCUGGAGGAGUUUGGUUUCCGUUCCCUGUGCGAGCAGGUGAGCCACCACCCCCCGGCAGCUGCCCAUCACGUCUACUCUAAGCGAGGGUGGACGUUGUGGCAGGAAAUCACGAUCGCCAGCAAGUUCAGGGGCAAAUACCUCUCCAUCAUGCCACUGGGUGCAAUCCACCUAGAGUUUCACUCCAGCGGGAAUCACUACGUCUGGAGGAAAGUCACCUCCACCGUUCACAACAUCAUCGUGGGCAAGCUCUGGAUUGACCAGUCUGGUGAAAUAGAGAUUGUUAACCAUAAGUCAAAAGAUAAAUGCCAGCUGAAAUUUACCCCCUACAGCUACUUCUCCAGAGAUGUCCCCCGAAAGGUGACAGGGGUGGUCAGUGACGCCGAUGGUAAAGCCCACUAUGUCAUGUCUGGCACGUGGGAUGAGAAGAUGGAGUGCUCCAAGAUAGUGCAGAGCAGCCACGGCAGCACCAGCACAGAGGGCAAGCAGAAAACCGUCUACCAGACGUUGUCUCCAAAGGUCCUGUGGAAGAAGUACCCCCUCCCGGAGAACGCUGAGAACAUGUAUUUCUUCUCUGACCUGGCCCUCACCCUGAACGAGCCCGAGGAACGAGUGGCCCCCACAGACAGCCGGCUGAGACCCGACCAGCGGCUGAUGGAGAGCGGCCGCUGGGACGAGGCCAACGUGGAGAAGCAGCGGCUGGAGGAGAAGCAGCGAGCCGUGCGCCGGCGGCGAGAGGCCGAGGCCGUGGAAGCCCUGGAGGAAGGCAAGGACUACGAAGGCUACAUCCCGCUGUGGUUUGAGCGCAAGGUGGAUGCUGUGACGGGGGAGCUGAUCUGCGUCUAUAAGGGUGGCUACUGGGAGGCCAAGGACAAGCAGGACUGGAGUACGUGCCCCGAUAUCUUCUGAGCCACGCCGGGGUGGCCGGCCCCGCGCCUCAAUUCACCGGGACAGACAGAGGGACAGUGAGGACACGCCGGCAGCGUCCCGCCGGCAGUUAACAGUGCAAAUACAUACACAGAAUCAAUACAUGCAGAAAUUUGAAAAGCAAAUCUAAACAGGGAUUCCAAACCUAUUUUUUUACGCACUAAUAAAUAGCAUCCUUUUUUUUUAAUGAUGGCUUUUUCAGCGACUAAUUAGGAAUGAGGACACGUGAAUCUGGUUCGUUUUUAGCCUAGCAUAUUUAUUGCUAUCAGGAGUUGCUGCCUAUAUCUUUCAGCGCCUCGGCUUUAUUGGCUGAGACGUCGACUUCCAAAGAUGCUCGCAUUGUGGGGAUGCUGUGCAUUUGUGUUCCUUCAAAGAUGGACACAAACAACCGUGUAUCCUGCUCUGAAAACUAUCUCCAGGGGCUGUGGCGUGUGAUCCUGGAGGCUCUUGGUGGUUCCUGCAGUGCCCAGUCAUCCCAGUAAUACCACUUAGGAUAUUUAGCUGGUG